rnacentral:lncRNA from 1 species
AAAAGGAAAAAAAAAGAAUUUUUAAUAGUGCUGAAUUGACUAUUUUUGUUCAUUUUACAGUAUCAUGCUUCUCUGACAUGUUUACUUUACAAAUGCUUCAGCUCAUGGCCAUGACUUAUUUUGAAUGAUGUUUCUGAAGAAACCCCCUCGGCAAGCCACGCUGCAAAGGAAUAGUUCCCAGAUCUUGGCAUAUCUGGAUGUACUGCUGCACCCUGAAACCUCUGUGCAGAUGACAUCAUCUCCUGAACACGGAGUUGCUGUAGACCUCACCACCGAGGUGAAUUUGUUACUGCCACUCACUAGAGAGAGAAGGAGCUCCCGCACUGUUGGCUGAGGUUACCUGUCCUGUGCCUGUUUGGCUCACAGGGGAUGUGGGACAGAGAUCUGCAGGUGUCUCAGUACUCAGGAGCCUUAUCUCCAAGGAGAUUUUUUUUUUUAAAGAGCUUCUCAGGGAGCUACAGCAUUUCCCCUGUCACAGACAAUGAGUCAUGCAGAGCUGCUUUAACAGAAAAGAAUUUGCAGUAAUCUGGAUGUAAUGGUUUUCUUUCACAGGAAAUAAUGAACAAGAAUUCAGUUCAGCUGUUUAUAACAGCGAUCAGAGGGACUUCUCUGGCUAUUAUGGCAGUUCAGGGUGUAAGGCAGUCCAGUUAACGUGCCAGAAAAGAAAUAAUAAAGAUUUCAAGAGCACAGUCA